rnacentral:miRNA from 1 species
GGGGCAGGGCUGGGCUGGGCUGGGCUUCUGCUGGGGCGUAGGGAGGAGCUGUACCACUUCCCUUUCUGGGCUUCUCCUGCUUCUCUCCGCU